AAUUAUCAACUGCUUUGGCUUUGUUUCGAAGUGAAGUUGGAUUUGGAGUGUUUGCCGGCGUGUUCGGCUCCUCCCAAAAGUAUAAACCCCUUCUCUCUCGGUGGAAAAGUAUCCUCGAUGUGAUAAUCUUUUACGUCGUGGAGAAAGCCUUGAAGUGGGGGGUAACAACCCUUACGUUUUGACCAAU
rnacentral:misc_RNA from 1 species